rnacentral:lncRNA from 1 species
GGCUGAUUAUUCUAUUUGGCAUCAACAUGGUGAAAUCGAUAGCUCAAGAAAAAAAGCACGGAUAGAAAUUUUCGAAGAAUACGGCCAUACUACCUUUGAAGUUGGAUCUAGCAGUAACAAUCCAAUAGUCAAUAUGGUUCAUGAUGCAAGUAGACCCUUCGUUAUCGAUGACCAUCGUACUGAAUUACCCAAUGUUGAUGCCCAAAAUAUUUACAAUUUGUUAGAGAGUGCAAAUCAGAAAUUGUAUGAUGGAUG